UGGAAUAAAAUAUUAUACUCCUAAUAAUGAUUGAAAAAAAUCAAAUUUAUAGAGAAAAAAAAUCACGUGAAAAUAUUAAUACGAAAGUUGUAUAGGCUCAAUAGAACAAUGAUAUCAAACAUUUUAAAUUUCUCGUAAUAGAAAAAUGUCAUAUAAAAUUGGAGCUAUUAUCUUUAGCUCAUACGUACUAAUACUUUUUUUUUUCUUUUUUCCGAGCUAUAAAUCAAUAAUAAAAAUUUCCUUAUAAUAAACCAUCUCUUUUUUGACUAGUACUAGUAAUAGGGACAGCGAACCUAGAUGAGAAAUUACACAAAAACCCAUCUUCUUCAACACGAGCUCCAUCAUCAAAAUUCAAAGCAUAACUUUGAGCAUCAUAUUGAAAUUGGGUUUUAUUUGAUUUCUUCAAUUUGCAGUAUAUUCCAAUUUUCUUUACCAAAUUCUUCAUAAUCUUGAUCUUUUUUACUAGCCAUGACUCUUUUUGCUCUAGCAAAGACCUGCUGUAAAUUUCAUGGGCUUGGACCCAAUUGAAGCUAGAAAACUUUAAACAAUCACACGACCCACACCCAGUUGGAGAAGAUGACGAAUAGUCUUCGUAAAUAUUGCCAUUUUUGUGGCCUUCUUGUUUGUGCUCUGCUAUGGGAGUAUAACUAUUCAUGAUAUUGAAUGGAUAGGAUUCUUGCUCUGACGGGAGGUUUUGGUUUCGAACCCUGGUUAUAAAAAAAAAUUCCGUUAGAAAGCGCUUUCCCUGUAGGAUUCUUGGCUUUUAACAAGAGGUCUUGGUUUUUGAACUCUAGUUAUAAAAAAAAUCUGUUAGAAAGCGCUUUCCCGUAGGAUUCUUGGCUUUUAACAAGAGGUCUUGGUUUUUGAACUCUAGUUAUAAAAAAAAUCUGUUAGAAAGCGCUUUCCCGUAGGAUUCUUGGCUUUUAACAAGAGGUCUUGGUUUUUGAACUCUGGUUAUAAAAAAAAUUCUGCUAGAAAGCGCUUUCCCUAUAAGAUUCUUGGCUUUUAAUGAGAGAUCUUGGUUUAAACCCUAAUUAUGAAAAAAAAUUCUGGUAGGAAAUGCUUCUGCUAUAAUAAACCUUACGUAGUGCGGAUAUGAAUUAAUCAGAUCUAAAGCGGAUAACGAAUAUCGAGCGAGAAAUGAGAAUAAUAUUUAUGUGUACGAAGGAGGAGAAGGAUGAGAAGUAGAGAAUGAAUGGGUGUUUACUUAUAAUGUAUUUGUAAGUGCGUGUGCAAUGUGUGUGUGAAAGGAAAAGGGGAGUGAGAAGAGGGCAAGUGGCUGCAAAAGGAAGAUUAGAGAAAUAAAUAAACCAAU
rnacentral:lncRNA from 1 species